rnacentral:rRNA from 1 species
UACGAAGGGGGCUAGCGUUGCUCGGGAAUGACUGGGCGUAAAGGGCGCGUAGGCGGAUGGCACAGUCAGAUGUGAAAUUCCCGGGCUUAACCUGGGGGCUGCAUUUGAUACGUGUUGUCUUGAGUUCGGAAGAGGGUCGUGGAAUUCCCAGUGUAGAGGUGAAAUUCGUAGAUAUUGGGAAGAACACCGGUGGCGAAGGCGGCGACCUGGUCCGACACUGACGCUGAGGCGCGAAAGCGUGGGGAGCAAACAGG